GGUUGUGAUCAUACCAGCACUAAUGCACCGGAUCCCAUCAGAACUCCGCAGUUAAGCGAGCUCGGGCGAGAGUAGUACUAGGAUGGGUGACCCCCUGGGAAGUCCUCGUGUUGCAACCC
rnacentral:rRNA from 1 species